AACUUGCUAAUCACAGCUUAUUUACAGAUCACAUGUCAAAAACCAAAAACCUAUCUUCACUCCGCAGGCCCAAAAAGGAAAAUGUCAAGCCAAAUUGAGGGGAAAAAAAAUAAAAAGUAAAAACCCUAAUUUUAAUUUUAAUUACAAUUAGUAUAAACCUUUCUACAAUGACGUUUGAUUGUCAGAGUCUCCCCCGCCAGCGUUGCUAUUACAAACGGUGUCGCCUUGCCAUGUCCAGAC
rnacentral:misc_RNA from 1 species